rnacentral:lncRNA from 1 species
GUUUACUUUAUUCUUGUUCUAGUAAAAAUGCAUAGUCUGAUCCAGUACACGGACAUUUGGAGAGCGGGUGUUGAGGCAGAUCAUUUGGACAAGAAAAGAUACAGCUGCUCCUUCAUCCCGCAGGUGUGGGAAUGACCAUGGCUAUAAAUUAUCUUUAGAGCCGGUGUAGAGCGUUGUGAAAGGUUCCUGAAUACCAGCCCCUCGGUUGUUGCCAAAUUCUGGCACUGCCGUCUGUGUACUGCGAGGCUUGUCACCAACAUGAUAAUUUAUGGCAAGUUGCUGCCUUGAACUAAAUUUAGGAACAAGUGCAGGAAAGGAAGGAAGCGAAAUGUUCAUCUUCUGGAUUGGGUUUUGGGGUCUUCUCCAACUCCCAGAAGCCCACCUGGUUCCUCCCGUCUUUUCAAACUGGUCAGUAACAAAGGAAGAAUCGUUUCUGCCCUCAUUAAAGAAGGCACUGUUCGGAAAAGACGAAUAUCUAAGAGAAGAUGAUUUCAACCUGACAAGACAGAACGCUACAUUUUUUCCUCCUGUGGAGCUGAAUAUUUCGCGUCGUAUUUGCUGCGGAUGUGAACAUAUAAUAGAAUUUCUGGGCUGGGUGCUACAAGACCAUAUUACAGUUGCCCGUUUCGCCGUCUCCGUUUUUACAGCUGGACUUUUUGUGAACCUGAUCAUUUUCUUCUUUCUCCUUUUCCACUUGCAGAGGAAGUCCUGGACUGUCUACAUCUGGAAUUUAGCUGUGGCUGAUUUGGCUGUCUUUCUAUUUUUAUGCGUUAUCCGUUUAUUUACUUCCAUUAAUAACAUUUAUGGGGAUGCAAGUGAAGCUUUUGAUAAAUUAUUUCUACCUCUGGCAUAUCUGUUCUUAGCUUUACAGGGCGUCAGCGUGCAUUUCCUUGUGGCCGUCGCUAGUGAUUGGUACCUGUUUCUCAUUUUAAGCAGGAACAGACACUCACUACUGGAUUACCUGCGUCCUCUCUUUUCUGUUCUUGAUGCUGUCAUUCUCUGGGCCCUCUCAUGCCACUUAAUGCUAUUUUUCAAUUUGGGGAGUGACACACAACCCAUCGGCUUCGUAUCACUGAUGGUUUUUGCUCCGCUCAUAGUAAUCUGUACUCAAACCCUGAUCCUGCAGAUUUGGUGUAAAUUACGCGGGGAAGGAAAUCUGCAUACAGAAAUUGUUCUCGGAGCAUUCUUCUGCCUUGCCACAUGGGCACCCCUACAUCUGUUUUCCACCAUGAGCUAUGAUUGCGCCACCCUCUCCUUGCUGGCUUUUCAGCUCACCAUUCUGAGUAGCGCCAUCAACCCUAUACUUUACAUUUUCAUCGGGCGAGGACUUCUGCAUCAUCCGGAAAAUGUCAGGUUGCCCCAUGUGGUUUAAAGGGAGCCAAAGGUCCCCUAAAGGCUGGAGCCGGGCAGUGAAGGAAGAAAUAUAGAGAUGCUUGUCGAAGAAACGUUAUGUGCCUGUCUUUUUUUUUUGGCUUUGCAAGACGUUUGUGACAUUUUAAGCAUUGAAUGUGCGCCCAGCUGAAUAAAGUCCGUGUCUUAAGAAUCCCUUACUUUGUU